UUUUAUUUGCCACCGGGUAAAUAUUUAAGGUAUCACGGGUAUUUCGUUAGGUCUUAGAAGAAAUACUUUUGAUACCUUUUUAUUU
rnacentral:ncRNA from 1 species